UCGUUUUUUCUAUCUUUCAGAGAACGGAAACCCUCACCAAAACCCUCGAGACGGUUUUCUCUCAGAUUCACAAUCAAAUCCAAAAUCUUUUGAGCUUUACUAACGAAUCAAAACCUGAGUUUCAGUAAUCAAAAUCUGGAAAUCUCGAUCUAUUUUCUAGAACCCUAAAGAAUUCCUAAUCCUAGAAUCCAAAAUCAAUUUUGUUCAUGAAAUCCGAAAUCAAUUCAUCUGAUAGUUGAUUAUCAUCAGGUGAAUCUACUACGGCUGAGAACGGAACAGGGGAAGGCGAGUACUAUGUCUGGCACGAGUGAAUCUACUACAGCUGAGAACGGAACAGGGGAAGGAGAGUACUACGUCUGGCACGAGUGAAUCUACUACAGCUGAGAACGGAGCAGGGGAAGGGGAGUAACACGUCUGGCACGAGUGAUUAAUUUCAAGUUGGUUCCUUGAAGUAUCUCUUGAAGUAUCUUAGAAGUGGUCUUAAACAUGUUUUGUUUGUACAUUUUUUUUUUUGAGGUGAUGGCUAUCUUAGAUGCCAACUAGAUGUUACCUUUGUAUUGUAUGAUACGCUUGUCAAGCAAACUUAAAGAUGACGGGUCUUGUAUAAAAAUAGUAGUACUUGUAUUUUGGUUUUACAUAUGCAAGGCUCAUUAUAAAGAUCAAACUUUGUUUUCUUUCUA